rnacentral:rRNA from 1 species
AUUCUGGUUGAUCCUGCCAGAGGCCACUGCUAUCGGGGUUCGAUUAAGCCAUGCGAGUCGAGAGGUGCAAGACCU